UCGGUAUAACGUUAUGGGAAAUCUUCACUUUGGCUCGAGACUUUCCUUAUCCAAACCUGGCCGACGAGCAAGUCAUUGGCAACGCCAAGACCGCUUUCUCUAAAGGUGGUGAUGGAGUGAUUUACAAUGACAAACCAGACGUGUGUCCUCAAGACGUGUUUGAUAUGAUGUUAUCAUGUUGGAGCAGUGAUCCUGCACAGCGGCCUGAUUUCGAUACGUUGUAUGAUUUCCUCAUGGGGAAGGUAGGAUCUGUACAGUCAGUUGUUGUGUGAGAUGGUAAAAUAGGGUGACUGUAGGGUAAAAUUUUGGAUAACACUAUAGUUGUGGUAUAGUACUGUAAUAGUAGUGCAAUGCUGUAGUAUAUAGUUUAUAGUAUAUUGUAUGUAGUGCUUUUGUUCAAAAAUGGUUAUGCAAGCAUAAAAAAUUUAGCUUGAAACUAUACUGCAAUACUGUAGUAGAUAGUUUAUAGUAUAUUGUGUGUAGUGCUUUUGUUCAAAAAUGCUUAUAUGCAUGCAAGCAUAAAUAAUUUAACUUAACGAAUUUUCUGCGUAACCAUUUUAAACUGCAUAAUGUUUGGGUAUAUAUAGUUUAGUUUAGUUUAAUGAAAUAUGUCACAUUACAUUACAUUGCGAAUUACAAAUUACAAAUAAAUACAGGACUUGCAUGCAACACCUAAACUAAC
rnacentral:lncRNA from 1 species